rnacentral:rRNA from 1 species
UGCGGAUCUCGAAAGCCUGUCCCAGUUCGGACUGGAGUCUGCAACCCGACUCCACGAAGUUGGAUUCGCUAGUAAUCGCGCAUCAGCCAUGGCGCGGUGAAUACGUUCCCGGGCCUUGUACACACCGCCCGUCAAGCCAUGGGAGCCGGGGGCGCCUGAAGUCCGGGACCGCGAGGACCGGCCUAGGGCGAAACUGGUAACUGGGGCUAAGUCGUAACAAGGUAGC